rnacentral:rRNA from 1 species
AACGUAGGAGACAAACGUUAUCCGGAGUUACUGGGCGUAAAGGGCGUGUAGGCGGUUUUGUAAGUCUGGCGUGAAAUUUUUCGGCUUAACCGGGAAAGGUCGUCGGAUACUGCAGGACUAGAGGACGGUAGAGGCGUGUGGAAUUCCGGGUGUAGUGGUGAAAUGCGUAGAGAUCCGGAGGAACACCAGUGGCGAAGGCGACACGCUGGGCCGUACCUGACACUGAUGCGCGACAGCAUGGGGAGCAAACAGG